rnacentral:lncRNA from 1 species
AGAGCAGCUGGCAGCGCGGCGGGCAGCGUUUGCCGAGCGGGCGCUCCGGGUCGCACGCAAGUCCGCGCGGGGUCCGGGCCACGCACGCGGUUUCAUCGCCAUCCCCAGCCGGGCCACGCGCGCAGGCAGACAAGCUGUUCGCGGCGACCGGAGAGCGCCGACACCAUGUGGAUCCAGGUUCGGACCAUGGACGGGAGGCAGACCCACACGGUGGACUCGCUGUCCAGGCUGACCAAGGUCAGAGCAAGCAUCUUCCUGACAGCAUUUUGUCAUCUAAAGUCCAGUGACAUGGUUCCCCGUGGUGGCCCGUGGCAGCCCGUGGCAUGGCGUGGCUCAGCUGUCUGUUGAAGUUGUUGCAAGGAAAAGAGGAAACAUCUCGGGCCUAGUUCAAACCUUUGCCUCAAAGCCAUCCCCCACCAGACUGCUUAGCGUCUGAGAUCCGCGUGAAAAGUCCUCUGCCCACGAGAGCAGGGAGUUGGGGCCACGCAGAAAUGGCCUCAAGGGGACUCUGCUCCACGUGGGGCCAGGCGUGUGACUGACGCUGUCCGACGAAGGCGGCCACGGACGGACGCCAGCACACGAAGUCACGUGCAAGUGCCUUUGAUUCGUUCCUUCUUUCUAAAGACGACAGUCUUUGUUGUUAGCACUGAAUUAUUGAAAAUGUCAACCAGAUUCUAGAAACUGCGGUCAUCCAGUUCUUCCUGACACCGGAUGGGUGCUUGGGAACCGUUUGAGCCUUAUAGAUCAUUUACAUUCAAUUUUUUUAACUCAGCAAGUGAGAACUUACAAGAGGGUUUUUUUAAAAUUUUUUUUUCUCUUAAUGAACACAUUUUCUAAAUGAAUUUUUUUUGUAGUUACUGUAUAUGUACCAAGAAAGAUAUAACGUUAGGGUUUGGUUGUUUUUGUUUUUGUAUUUUUUUUCUUUUGAAAGGGUUUGUUAAUUUUUCUAAUUUUACCAAAGUUUGCAGCCUAUACCUCAAUAAAACAGGGAUAUUUUAAAUCACAUACCUGCAGACAAACUGGAGCAAUGUUAUUUUUAAAGGGUUUUUUUCACCUCCUUAUUCUUAGAUUAUUAAUGUAUUAGGGAAGAAUGAGACAAUUUUGUGUAGGCUUUUUCUAAAGUCCAGUACUUUGUCCAGAUUUUAGAUUCUCAGAAUAAAUGUUUUUCACAGAUAGACUUGAUUGUGUCUUCCUAUUUGCAAACUGCCUUUGGAGCUUUCUGUCUACUUUUGUGCACUAUUUUACAAAAAUCCCAGGAGAAACAUGAGGCAGGUGGCUUCAGCCCCACUUUACAGAUGAGAAAACUGAGACCCAGGAGAUGACGGUGACGGGCUGAGGUCCUAACCGCAGCCUGGGAGGUGCUGGGCUGUUCACUUUGCAGCGUCAAGUUGCAGGGGUCAGCAAACGACAGCCAAUGGGACCCAAGUCAGGACACUGCCUGUCUGUAAAUAAAGUUUUAUUGACACCACCACACCCAUUUCUUUAUGUAUAUAGUGGCGUUUACGCUACCAUCAGCAGAACUGAGUAGGUACAGCAGAAACCAUCUGGACCACAAAGCUGAAAAAUACUCACUGCCUGGCCAGCAAAGCUUGCUGGUCUCUUCUCUUGGGAGGAUGACUUGAGUGUAGGAGUCUGAGACCAGCCUGUAGACCCCAACUCUACAAAUAAAUAAAAAUAUUAGCCAGGUGUGGUGGUGUGUUUCUGUAGUCCCAGCUACUCAGGAGGUUGAGGCAGGAGGCUGAUUGCUUGAGCCCCAGAGCUAGAGGCUGCAGUGAACUUUGAUUGCACCACGGUACUCCAGCCUGGGCAACAGAAUGAGAUGCUGUCUUUAAAAACGUUUUAAAAAAAAAAAAUCGGGACGGUAAAGGGGCUGCGUCUUGCAGAUUAAUUAAUUCACAUCAACCUAUUACUGGUGCCUUUUAUUGAUGGUUAAGUAACCAUAUGGGCAGAUUUGUUUUGUUUUUGAGACAGUCUUGCCCUGUUGUCCAGGCUGGAGUGCAAUGGUGUGAUCACAGCUCAUUGCAGCCUCCAACUCCUGGGCUCAAGUGAUCCUCCCAUCUCAGCCUCCCGAGUAGCUGGUACCACAGGCAUGCAGCACCAUAACUGGCAAAUUUAAUUUUUUUUUUUUUUUUUUUGGAGAGACGGGAUCUCAUUCUGUUGCCCAGGCUGGUCUCCAACUCCUGUGAUUAGGCGAUCCUCCCAUCUCAGCCUCCCAAAGUGCUGGGAUUACAGACGUGAGCCACCACGUGCAGCCUGGAGUUUCUUUUUGAGGUGGUAAAAAUGUUCUAAAAUUGAUGGUUGCACAUGUCUGUGGAUAUACUAAAAUCCACAGAAUUGUGCACUUUAUUUUUUAUUUUUAUUUUUUCCUUUUUUUUUUUUUGAGACGGAGUCUUGCUCUGUUGCCCAGGCUGGAGUGCAGUGGCGUGAUCUCGGCUCACUGCAAGCUCCGCCUCCCGGGUUCACGCCAUUCUUCUGCCUCAGCCUCCCAAGUAGCUGGGACUACAGGUGCCCGCCACCACACCCGGCUAAUUUUUUUGUAUUUUUAGUAAAGACAGGGUUUCACCGUGUUAGCCGGGAUGGUCUCGAUCUCCUGACCUCGUGAUCCGCCCCCCUCGGCCUCCCAAAGUGCUGGGAUUACAGGCGUGAGCCACCGCGCCCGGCCAGAAUUGUGCACUUUAAGUGGGUGAAUUGUAUGGUAUGUGGAUUAUACCAGAAAUAUGUCAAGUGUGAACGUGAAGAUAAGAUUCCCAGUUCUUGAAGGAAACUCCAUAAAUGUCCCCAGUGGGCCCUUCCUAGAAAACACUAAAGUGGGUUCAUUGUUGAGAUUGCUGCCUUCUUUUUGAUUUUUCUCUCCCUUUAAAGAACAAUGUCAUGUUUAAAAAAAUGAGCAAAACCCAGAAAAGUAUUUGUGGAACUGUUUUGCCACCGACUCUAAUCUUGGGCAUAUUUCUUUCCUGGUUCACUUAAAAAAAUUUCUUUGGCCGGGUGCGAUGGCUCACACCUGUAAUCGCAGCACUUUAGGAGGCUGAGGUGGGCGGAUCACCUGAGGUCAGGAGUUUGAGACCAGCCUGUCCAACAUGGUGAAACCCCAUCUCUACUAAAAAUACAAAAAUAAGCUGGGCAUGAUGGUAUGAACCUGCAAUCCCAGCUACUUGGGAGGCUGAGACAGGAGAAUCGCUUGAACCCAGGAGGUGGAGUUUGCAGUGAGCCGAGAUCACACCACUGCACUCCAGCCUGGGCAACAGAGCGAGACUCUGUCUCAAAAAAAAAAAAAAAAAAAAAAAAGUCUUUGAUUCAAGAUCUCACUUUGUCACCCAGGCUGGAGUACAGUGGUGGUGUCAUCAUAGCUCACUGCAGCCUCAAACUCCCAUGCGCAAGCAAUCCUCCUGCCUCAGCCUCCUGAGUAGCUGGGACUACUACAGGUGCAAACCACCAUGCCUGGCUACUUUUUUAAAGAGAGAGAUAUAUAUUUUAGUAGAGAGAAGUCUCACUUUGUUGCCCAGGCUGGUCUGGAACUCCUGGUCUCAAGCCAUCUUCCUGUCUGGGUCUCCCAAAGUGCUGGGAUUACAGAUGUGAACUACCAUGCCCACCCUAAAAAUCUUUAACAGCUCUAUGGAGAUAACAGUUCAGGUAAUAUAAAGGUCACCCUUUUAAAGCAUACAGUUCAGUGGUUUUAUUUUACUGUGUUGUUUUUGAGACAGUCUCGCUCUGUGGCCCAGGCUGGAGUGCAGUGGCAAGAUCUCUGCUUACUGCAACCUCCCCCUCCCGAGUUCAAGUGAUUCUUCUGCCUCGGCCUCCCAAGUAGCUGGGAUUACAGGCAUGCACCACCAUGCCCGCCUAAUUUUCAUAUUUUUAGUAGAGACAGGGUUUCACCAUGUUGGUCAGGCUGGUCUCGAACUCCCGACCUCAGGUGAUCCACUCGCCUCGGCCUCCCAAAGUGUUGGGAUUACUGGUGUGAGCCACCAUGCCUGGCCAGCUUAGUGGUUUUAGUAUAGUCAAUACAGUUAUGCAGCCAUCACCACCAUCUAAUUACAGAACUUUAACAUCCACACAAAAAGAAACCUCACACCCUUCCGCAGUCUUGCCCUGUGUCCCUCCCCCAGGCCCUGCAAGCCACGAAUCCUCUUUCUAUCCUUAUGGAUUUGCCUGUCCUGGACAUUUCAUAUAAAUGGAAUUAUACUGUAUUUUGUGUCUGGCUUCUGUCACUAAGGAUGGAAUUUUCGAGGUUCAUCUGCAUUGUAGCCUGUGUCAGAGCUUUAUUCCUUUUCAUGGCUGAGUAAUAUUCCACUGUACGGAUGGGCCACCUUUCUAUAAUCCCCGUUUGACUUGUUUUAAGAUGUAGUCUUGCUCUGUUGCCCAGGCUGGAGUGCAGUGGCAUAAUCUCGGCUCUACAACCUCCACCUCCUGGGUUCAAGUGAUUCUCCUGCCUCAGCCUCCGGAGUAGUUGGGAUUACAGGUGUGCACCACCAUGCCUGGCUAAUUUUUUUGUAUUUUUGGUAGAGACGGUGUUUCACCAUGUUGGCCAGGCUGGUCUCGAACUCCUGACCUCAAGUGAUCUGCCCUCUUCGGUCUCCCAAAGUGCUGGGAUUACAGGCGUGAGCCAUGAAGCCCAGUCCCCAACUGCUUUUUUUUUUUUUUGGAGAUAGUCUCCAUGGCCCAGGCUGGAGUGCAGUGGUGUAAUCUCAGCUCACUGCAGCUGCCUCCUCCUGGAUUCAAGCAAUUCUCGGGCUUCCCCUCUCUAGUAGAUGGGACUACAGGCAUGCACCACCACACCUGGCCGAUUUUUGUACUUUUUGUAGAGAUGGGGUUUUUGCCAUGUUGGCCAGGCUGGUCUCGAACUCCCGGGCUCAAGUGAUCCUCCUGCCUCAGCCUCCCAAAGUGCUGGGAUUACAGCCACUGCACCUGGCCUCCCAUUUCAAUUUGUUAAUGCAGCAGACCAACCCAUAAGGGGAGGGGCAUCUAUUGAAGCAUUGAACAUUUUUGCGCUCCACACCUUGCCUGUCUAGAAAGAUUGAGGGAGACCAGUCAGAAAUUGAGCAUUGGGCCUGCUAACUGGGGGUUCCUUGACGUCUGAAAGCCAAGCCAAGCCUCCUGGUCUUGUUUAGGGGGAGGUCCCCAAGCAUUCCCUGCCCCAGUCCUUUGUGAGAUUUGCAUCUGACUGCAAAGGAUGGAAGAAAACCAGGGCAAUUAGGUGAGUGUUGCCUAAAUUAAUCUGCCCAUUAAAAUAUUCUAAAGAGCAUUUCCUUCCUUUUUGGAGGAUGAGGACUUCUACUUAUCUGACAGCAAUUCUAGUGUGUUUUUAACAUUUUAAUAUGAAGAGUUUCCAAAACUUGGAAAGAAUCGGAUUUGGAAAGAAUCGGAUGGUGAACCCUCAGACCUACCGUCUAGAUUCUAUGAUCAUGUUAAGUUUUUCUCAUAAGAGAUGGCAUGAAAACUUUGUCUAAGCAAAAUAAAGUGGAGAACCCAUUUGGGUUCCUCGGUUAAAAACAUUUAUAUUGUCUGUGAAAUCUAAACACCCCCCACUGUCUCAGAGAAUAUACUUGGAAGUAGAACAAAAAGCCCUAUGUAUGUGGUACGUGGGGUGGGGACUCUUUCCCUUCAUGAUUGCACUUUUUUUUUUUUUUGAGACAGGGUCUCAUUCUGUUGCCCAGGAGUGCAGUGGUGUGAUCAUGGCUCACUGCAGCCUCGACCUCCUGGGCUCAAGUGAUCCUCCCUCAGCCCCCAGUGUAGCUGGGACCACAGGCAUGUGCCCGCACAAUCAACUCGGUUUUUAUUUUUAGUAGAGAAGAGGUCUCGCUCUGUUGCCCAGGCUGGCCUGAAACUCCUGGGAUCAAGUGAUCCUCCCACCUUGGCCUCCCAAAGGGCUGGGAUUACAGAUGUGAGUCACUACACCCAGCCUGGGCAACAGCCUGUUUUUAAAUUUUGUUUUUACUUUUUAUUUUGAGACGGGGUUUGACUCUGUCACCCAGGCUGGAGUGCAGUGGUGUAAUCAACGGCUCACUGCAGCCUCCACUUCCCCGGGCUCAGGUGAUCCUUUCGCCUCAGCCCCCGAAUAGCUGGGAUUAUAGGCGCGUGUCACCACGCCCAACUUUUGUAAUUUUUUUGGUAGAGACGGAGUCUUGCUAUAUUGCCCAGCCUGUUCUCAAACUCGUGGGCUCAAGUGAUCUGCCCAUCUCAGCCUCCCAAAGUGCUGCGAUUCCAGGCAUGACCUGAAAUUAAAUCUCAACUCCAUGUGGAAUAUAUGAAUAUGGUCCCAUAAGAAUUUAAAACACCCAGAGCUUCUUAAAUUCUCCUUUGACUUCUCUUUUUACCAGUGUGCAGCUUUCCUUCUCUCCCCAAGGAUUAAGUUCGUUUCUUCAGUUUAGGAGUACCUUUUUCUGUGCAUUGACAAGCUUGUGUGCUCUUAACCUCAUGAUACCGGUUUCUGUGUGUGUUUCCAUAUUUAUUUUAUUGAGUACAGGAUUCUGGACCACUGUCCCUAGCUCAGCGGUUGGGAGAUAUUUCAUGUUUGCAAACAGAUCGGCCUUCUCUUUUUUCUUUUCUUUCCUUUUUUGAGACAGAGUCUCACCCUGUUGCCCAGGCUGAAGUGCAGUGAUCUCGACUCACUGCAACCUCCGCCUCAGCCUCUGGAGUAGCUGGGAUUACAGGCAUGCGCCACCAUGCCUGGCUAAUUUUGUAUUUGUUAAUAGAGACAGGUUUUUGCCAUGUUGGCCAGGCUGGUCUCGAACUCUGGACCUCAGGUGUUCCACCCGACUCGACCUCCCAAAGUGCUGGGAUUACAGGUGUGAGUCGCCCGAGCCACAGCACCGGGCCUGGCCUCCUUUUCAAUUGCUACAUAGUAAGUAUUCCAGAGUACUGAUUGCUAUUAAGUUACUUCUCUAAUCCCCCACUGAUGGAUAGUUAGUGCAAAACAUUGGAAACAGUUGCAGACAGCCCUGCCGCCGGCAUUCUUGAAUUGUGUAAGCUCCAGACCUUUUUUCUGGGUACAUCACCUCCAGGAAGAACUGCUGGCUGGGUUAUCGGGUGGUGGAUGCACUUAGAAUGUUAUUAGAAAAUGUCAAAUUGCCCAAUUUACACUCCUGCCACUCCAAAUGGGGGCAUGCCUCACACCCCUGCGUGGUCCAGUACACAAUGAAUGCUCAUUUUGUGAAGUCACAGGGUCAAAUCUUUCUCCGUGCCUCAUCCCACUUAAUCCUUGCAACAUUCUCAAGAGGCGGGUAGACGGGGUGUGGCCACUACCAUCAUAUCCAUUGCACAGUUGGAAACAGACUCAGCGAGGUUACUUUGCUGGAGGUCAACCACAGUGAGGCAUGGGGCCCGGCUUAGCUUUGAAUCCAGGUCAGAAAGCACCAAAGCUCAUUCUCUCCCAUACAUUUUAGGGAACUCGGGGAGAGGGACCCUAACUAUUCCGAAGGCCUUGCCCCUUGGCAAAGGUUUGUUGAUUGUGAUGGGAAUAGACCUACGGUGGCGGGGUGGAGGCUCUUGCUGCUUUACCCUAUGUUCUCGGUUCUCCUCCUUUGCAAAACGGAUCGCUAUGUCUCCUUGCUUGGCACUUUGCAAAUUGGGGAACGCUAAGCCCACAUUCCGGCCACGGGUUUCGAACCUCCAGCCUGCACGUUCCCGGCCGGUGCUGAUGCUGUGCUGGGUCUCACGUACUCAGCCGCCG